AGUGAACGCUGGCGGUAGGCCUAACACAUGCAAGUCGAACGGCAGCACAGUAAGAGCUUGCUCUUACGGGUGGCGAGUGGCGGACGGGUGAGGAAUACAUCGGAAUCUACUUUUUCGUGGGGGAUAACGUAGGGAAACUUACGCUAAUACCGCAUACGACCUACGGGUGAAAGCAGGGGAUCUUCGGACCUUGCGCGAUUGAAUGAGCCGAUGUCGGAUUAGCUAGUUGGCGGGGUAAAGGCCCACCAAGGCGACGAUCCGUAGCUGGUCUGAGAGGAUGAUCAGCCACACUGGAACUGAGACACGGUCCAGACUCCUACGGGAGGCAGCAGUGGGGAAUAUUGGACAAGGGGCGCAAGCCUGAUCCAGCCAUACCGCGUGGGUGAAGAAGGCCUUCGGGUUGUAAAGCCCUUUUGUUGGGAAAGAAAAGCAGCAGGUUAAUACCCCGCUGUUCUGACGGUACCCAAAGAAUAAGCACCGGCUAACGUCG
rnacentral:rRNA from 1 species